AAAAAGAUAAGCUAAACAAGCUUAUAGGUUCAUACCCUGUUUAUGAAAGUCAAACCUUUCUCUUUUUA
rnacentral:tRNA from 1 species